CACUGCAGAGAAGAUUUCCUGGAGAGGAGCUCAUUUUUCUGGAGAGGAGCUCUCCCAAACAGCCCCUAUAUCAGUGGCGCCAAAUCCAGCUCCUGGCGGCAAAUUACCUCUGCGCCAAAUUUUCAUUGUUUGGCGCGCGAAAUCUCUCUCAUGGCGCGCCUAAUCUCUCCUCAAUGUGAACUCGCCACCCUCCCGCCUCGCGCAGAUCGGGGGGAGUGGGGCAGCAUGGAGGAGCUCGCGGAGCUCGACAGCGGCGACCACGGCGGGUAGCUUGGUGGCGGCGCCAGAUCCAUCCUCGAGUUCGCCGCUCCUCCCCACCUCGCGCAGAUCGGCAGGCAUGGAGCUCGGCGGCGCAGCUUGGAGGAGCUCGAUGUCCCCUGCGCAGACGCAGCCCCUCAUCUCCCUCCUGACUUCCCCACCAUCGGCCUCAACUGCCCCGGGCUCCGGCAAUCUCCGGGGUCAGCGGCGGCCGGUGCCCCCCCACCUUCUUCUCCACCCCCCAGCCCCCGACGCCGGUGGACCCCUUCCCCCUUCUUCUCCCUGUCCUGUAGGUUGCAGCAGCGCUAGCAACAUCCGCCAUGCUAGCAGCAGUGGACACAUCGCCAAGAUGAAGGCCCUCUUCAAGUCCAAGCCAGGUAUGCUGGCCAGCGUCAUCCAGCAGACGCACGAACUCCUCAUCUUCGUCGACCUCCACUCUGGAUCACGCGGUGUUGUUGAUAUGAGGAGCUUAUGAAGUACAGUAAUGCAUCACAAAUGGCUGUUGUCGAGGCUAUGGAGGCAACUUCUGCUGCAGAGAACUUGCCCCAAUGUUUAAGGAACUAGGAAGUGCCAGAUGGAAGGAAAGAGAGUCCUGGUGGAGCUUGGCACUUUGUUGCUUUCCUGCAUGCCACUCUUUGAUCCUCCAAGGCAUGAAAGUGCAUAAACAAUUCGAAUGGCACUUAACCUUGGUGUAAAUGUAAAGAUGAUCACAGGUGCUCUUCCAAUUGGGAAAAGAAAAUCCAGAUGUUCUAUUUGUUUUAUAUUUUUUUUAUCACAAUUCCAAAAAAAAUAUAAUUAUUUCGGGUUGUUACGGUGGUUACAGGGUAGUUCAUGUUCAGUUAUUAUAUGGUGGAUCAGUAACUGUAAUUCUCAUCUACAAUAUGAAGAACAACUAGCAUAAAUGUUCAGUACUGCAACCUGUUCAAUCGGAAAUGCAUUAUAAUAUUGUGCCAUAAAUAAGUAACUCAAUUUUCUUCAUUAAAAAAAUUAAACAAUCCAUUGCUCUUCUGUCAUUGUUUGGAGCCAUGGGACCAUCACCGGUUCAAAGAGCCUUUAGCUCUCAUUCACUGAAAAGAAGCUGUUGUUGUGUCUCUUGACCAUUGUGAUCUAUUUAAUCAUAAUACGAAGAACUAGCUUCUCUACGUGCCGUUGCGCAAAUAGUAUUUUAGGUCUAAAUAUGGUUAUUUACCGUGAUUUCUAGGGUGUAAUUUGUUUUUUUAUAGUAAACCACUUGAAGCUAUUGAUCCAUACCUCAAAUUAAUUUGCUGUUGAAAUUGUGUGCUAUUAUAUAUAGGGUAAUUCAGAACUAACUGAAAGAAAGGUAUCAUGUGUUUAAUUGAACUAUCCAUAGAAACUGAGUAACUCAAUUUAUUUUCUUAACUUUCUUUUAAAUAGAAACUGAGUAACUCAAUUAAUUUCCUUCACUUUCUUUUAAAUAGUAGUCUCUGAUAUUUCACAUAUUAGAAUUGCAUGCAUAUAAAGCCCUUUCUAAUUAUAUUUGUUCAAAACAAUUUCAGCCAGCUUGACAACAAUAAUUUCUCAGGAACCUCAAUUCCUUCAUCUUAUGGCAAUAUCACCAUAGUUUUGAAAUUGUAAGUAUUUCUUACUACUGUCUGCAAUUCCACCUCUUAGUGUAGGGCUGAAAUGAAUUUUAGAAGGGUUGCCUUUCGAAUGUCUUGCAAAUCAAGUGGUGAAGUUCUAUAUCAAGAAUAUAGGUUUAACUCAGACUUCUACACUCGGUAAUUAUGAAACUUAGAGGCUAAAUCUAUUUGAUAUGGUCUUCAUCAGGAGUUUGAGGAACUGCAGCUUGGAAGGACCUGUCCCUGAUGUCAGUGGAAUAGCCCAACUUGGCUAUUUGUAUGUGUCAAAAUUCAAUGACUGCAACCUCACUUUCUCAGGAACAGAAAAUUCUAUUUCCGUAGUUAGCAGAAACAAAUCUGUGUGUGGCAUCCCUGAUCCUUGCCUUAUUUAUGUUCAGAGAUCUUAGUUGGAAUCAGUUGAGGGGUCGAAUACCAUCUGGCCGACCAGCAAGCAACAUAAGCACGAUGUAUAAUAAUAGAUCCUUUACUAACAACUUGUGCUAUUUUUUGUUUAUUUAAAUUUGCUAAGCAUUUGGCGACCAAGCUAUCUUUUUUGAUCAUUCUGAUUGCACAGACUUGCAUUUUUAGUUUAUAUGCAUGCUUAUAGAAUUUUUGCAGACGGAUCCAUUCCUGGAAGUUUCUCUGGCCUUCCAAAUCUACAAAGACUGUAAGUAUGAUAUAUAUUUUGAGUUCAGUGAGUGCAAUAGGUAUGAUCCUUAGAUCAUUGGUAGAAGCAGGAUAGGGAUAAAGUAAAAGGGAAGAAGAACUUUACAGGGCAGAAAAGACAAUCACUUUUACUUCAUAACUGAUAUUUCUAAGCAUUAUUAUUUCCUACUGGGUACCUAGACAAACAGAAUUGAAUUGUGGUUCAGUUUCAGGAAUAGUUUCAAGAAGAUAUAUUGAAUGUAUGCAGAUAUGUAAAUUGUACAUUCUCAAAUUAGAUGUUAUGUGUUGCUUGCUCUAGCGAAAGAGAUUUCAUAUUGUCGCAUGUAGUAGUUGACAGGACAUUCUGGAUCAUCCAUCUGCCUCAUAGCACAACUUUCAUCAUUCUGCUACCAGCCCAUGGUCUCCUUCAAGAUAAGCAUCACAUAGUGGAAGCACUAAGAACAUAUCAUUCAUCUUUUAUAUUCCCUUAUUGCUCCCACUAUUAACCUAAUAAUGAUUGGAAAUAAAAAAAGUUUCUAAGCCUAAGACGUUUUAAGAUGCAAGAAAGAACAUACUCAUUGGAUACAAUUUUAUAUAAAAAUUGCAUAGUUUUUCUUCAGUUUAAUUCAGCAAGGUAUUGAGCUUCUCAAUGCAAGUCAUGUAAAUUAGGCGUUCUACUGAAUUUAUUUUGUUUCUUUUCAAUGGACCUGAAAACAUCAACAAAAACAAAAACACUUCGCUGAUAUUUUUUACCAGUGCGAUGGAAGAUUUAGAACAGAUUAUACACUGUAGAACAAAUUAGAACUUGAUUCCUGUGAACAAAAACUGAAUGUUCAGUAAUUUUAAAUACUCCAAAUUAAUGCCCAAUGUUUCUACCUGAUCUAUUUGACACAACUGGAUGGUGGCUGAAAUCCAAAAAGGAAAUCAUGUUCGUGUUUCAGAUUUUCUUUUGCAGAGUAUCAAUUAGUCAAAAAUCAGUAUUGAUCAUCUUAUUGAUUCCUUGCACUUGCAGUUCCAUAUUAUGGAAUGCAACUAACUAAUACUUCCAUGAUGUUUCUGUUGACAGAAUACCCUACCAGCUGUAGUGUUCAUGUAUCUUACUAAACCUUUUCAAACUACAAUAUUUGCCAGCCAUUAAGUGUACUCACAUAAUUAAAUUGAAAUGCGGAACUCAGAACUACACCAUUAAGUAACUAUGCCGACAAACAACCUUGCCUAGCUUUCACCUGAAUGAUGAUGAUUACAGCCAGAGCUUUGAGUUUGAUGUUGGAUUUUGUCCCUUUUUCCACACACACACACACAAAAAAAAAAAAAAAACUUUGGUGUGGACAUAUCUCAAGGUGGAACUCUGAGUGUUCUACUCGAGGGAAGUAUCCUUACUAUGACUUCAGAAAUUCUGAUGUAUGAGCAAUUGCUUUAUUACACUUUUCAUGGUAAGAACGUUCUUCAAUUGGUCAUCAUGAGUUUGCUGCAUUUUUGUUCUUCUGAUUGACAUCGCAUCCUAUUGUCUCUUUACUUCUCCAAGGUUUCAGGAUAAUUAAUCUAUACAUGAAUGCAAGAUGACUCAGAGGAGGUACUAAAUCCUUGCAGAAACAUGCAUGAUCUUUAGCCAUUAUCUGACAAAUAUAUGAGUGCAACUGAACAAUUGACUAAAGAUUGGCUAAUGUGUGAGCUUAUGUGUUAUGUGGGGAAUCACCUGCAAGAAGCAGGGAAGUAGCGAGUCGACUGCGCAUCAUUGAGUUUUGCCACCAAUUCAGGAUUAAUUCAGAUAUUGGUUUUCCCUUUCUGUUUUCCUAUUCUGUUUUUUGUUUCCAGUUUCAAGUCUGGUUGGACAUUGACAUUGAAAAAAAAUGUUAGAAAUAGCAAAUCAUGCGUUUUUUUUUGGUAGGCUCCAUUUCAAACACAUUGCCUCCUUUUUGUCAUCAAGAUAUUACCUCAAUCAUGACUAUUGAAACA